GCGGCCCUUGUGGACCGUUAAGGCUGUUAAGGCUGCGUACUUUAAGGCUUCAGACCCUGAAUUGGGAUACAGCCUAUACCUGGAUGAUCAUGAAUCCUAUCUGCAGGAUGUCCAUCAUGCAGCUACCUUCACUUUAAAAUGCCUGCUCCAUGAACUUUAACAGAUCAGUGAGCAGCAAAGACAUAUGGGCACAUCACAUGAGAAGCACAGGAGGUGAAAUGUUGCCACACCCACCACCACCACAAAACUGAGGGCCAGUAUCACAAGCCCCAGUCCCAGCAAAUGAGAGGUUCCCCCUUUAUAGAAGUUCAGCUGGUCCCACAGCCCCACAGCCAGGCAGCUGAAGCCGAUGAGAGUUCCCCAAAAUCCAAAAGCCAGCAUGCAGGAUCCACAAGACAGUUCAACGCCUCCAGUAACCACAGUGACGCCCGCCACUGACACAACACCUCCUGGCGACAGGCAGAGGGGCUUGACCACCUUGUGAGUGCCCUCACACCAGUAGGAGGUGCAGAGAGCCAGGAUAGAGAGGGCCAGAGCCAAAGAGGUCAAGGUGAGGGAGAGCAGGGAGCGAGAGCGACGGGACAUGCGUUCCAGCAUGGCCACGCGGGAGAAGACGGAGGUACGGGUGGGGUCAGAUAUAGAGAGAGGAAGGUCAAAGUAAGACAAACAGGGGACAGAACGGGACA